rnacentral:rRNA from 1 species
CACGCGUCUUGAGAUCUUUUGAUCACCUGAGAGAUCAGGUUUCCCCUUCGGGGGCAAAAUGACAGGUGGUGCAUGGUUGUCGUCAGCUCGUGUCGUGAGAUGUUGGGUUAAGUCCCGCAACGAGCGCAACCCUUAUGACUAGUUGCCAGCAUUUAGUUGGGCACUCUAGUAAGACUGCCGGUGACAAACCGGAGGAAGGU